rnacentral:lncRNA from 1 species
AUCAACAAGAAAGCAAUAAUCUAAUCUUAAUACAACCUUUGCAAAAGGAAUAAAUCUCUAGAUAUACUUCUUCCUAGAGGGAAAAUGUAAAACAAACAAUCUUCUUGUGUUGGGAAGUUUUUUGGGGAAGUUUUACUUUACACAGUUAGUGGAAGUUUUUCAUUUCCAUAGACACAGUGCAAUGUAGAAUACCAAGCAACUACUGAGCUUUAUCACUUAAGUGGGAAGGGAAAACAAACAAACAAACAAAACAAAAAACAAAACAAAACAAAAAAAAAAAACAAACUGAUUUUGAGUUUACAAUAGACUUUUCCUGAAAACUUUUAAAGAAAUAAUGAAGCAGACAGGGAGAUACUUUUCUGUGCAGGUCAAAAGUUCAAAGUGAAAAAGAAAUUACUUCUUCUAAAAGUAAGAAAAAGGAGAUAGUAUUUUCCUGAAUUCUCUAACAAGAAGUGGCAGGGAUUUCAGUUGUCAUACACAUUUUAAUUUUUUAAGAGAGAGGGAAAAAAAAAGUGAUAUUAGAGCAGACUGAAAACAGGGAUUUGAAUGUGCACAGUAGUAAGUGAUUUUCUGAUAAUCAGUUUAAGUUUUGAUGUUAAAACAAAAUCUAAAUUAUUUCUGUUAACACAGGAAACAUGUAAAAAUGAUACAGUGUUUGUUGUAGAAGACAAGAGGAUGAAGGAAUGUCGCAGAAAAUUGAUGGCAUUGAAAUUCUACUCCAUAUUGGAAAUAAUUUCAAGAAGAUAUAUCAGCAAAUCAAGAUCAAAAUCAUAUUUGGCUGGAUGACUUCAGUACUAACUAAGCAAUAAAUAAUAAAGCAAAAGAAAAACA